GCUUGGGUGGCUCAGGUGGUUGAGCGUCUGACUCUUGAUUUCGGUUCAGGUCAUGAUCUCACAGGUUUGUGGGUUCGAGCCCCGCAUCAGGCU
rnacentral:tRNA from 1 species